UCCUACGGGAGGCAGCAGUGGGGAAUAUUGCACAAUGGGGGAAACCAUGAUGCAGCGACGCCGCGUGAGUGAAGAAGUAUUUCGGUAUGUAAAGCUCUAUCAGCAGGGAAGAUAAUGACGGUACCUGACUAAGAAGCCCCGGCUAACUACGUGCCAGCAGCCGCGGUAAUACGUAGGGGGCAAGCGUUAUCCGGAUUUACUGGGUGUAAAGGGUGCGUAGGUGGCAGGGCAAGUCAGAUGUGAAAGCCCGGGGCUCAACCCCGGUACUGCAUUUGAAACUGUCGAGCUGGAGUGCAGGGGAGGAA
rnacentral:rRNA from 1 species